rnacentral:rRNA from 1 species
AAGCACUUUAUUUGAUUUCCUUCGGGACUGAUUAUUUUGUGACUGAGUGGCGGACGGGUGAGUAACGCGUGGGUAACCUGCCUUGUACAGGGGGAUAACAGUUGGAAACGGCUGCUAAUACCGCAUAAGCGCACGGUUCCGCAUGGAACAGUGUGAAAAACUCCGGUGGUACAGGAUGGAUUCGCGUCUGAUUAGGUAGUUGGUGGGGUAACGGCCUACCAAGCCGACGAUCAGUAGCCGACCUGAGAGGGUGACCGGCCACAUUGGGACUGAGACACGGCCCAAACUCC